GCUCGGCGCUCGGCCCGCCGCCCUGCGUAGGGCGCGCGUCGCAGGUCGGGGCUCGCCAAGAUGUCGACCGCCAUGAAUUUUGGGUCCAAGAGCUUCCAGCCGCGGCCCCCGGAAAAGGGCAGCUUCCCGCUGGAUCACUUCGGUGAGCGGCGGGCAGCCGCUGGGCUCCCGCGCCGGGCCUCGGGUCCUGAGUGUCCGGUGGCGCCGCACGGCUCCGCGGUGCAGGUGAAUGUAAAAGCUUCAAAGAGAAAUUCAUGAAGUGUCUCCGCGACAAUAAGUUUGAAAACGCUUUGUGCAGAAAGGAAUCAAAAGCCUAUUUA